rnacentral:lncRNA from 1 species
AUGCUUCAUAAGAAUCGUCCUAGCUAUCCUGGGAGCUGGCAGCGUUCUCCCUGGCUUCUUGCCCUGACUCCUCAGAGCAAUCAGCCAGCUGUGAGACCCUGGUGUGGAGACACAACAUUAGCUGUCUGCUGGCCCCAGCUGAGUAUCAGCCUCUGCCUGAUAGAGCUGCCUCCCCCAAACAAGAAAUUUCAUGAGAGCAGAGAUCUGGCCUGGGUGUUCAUCAAGCUGCCAUAUAGCACAACGGUCAGUAACUGCUUAUUGAGUGGAGUUGGUCUGAGAGCCCAGAGGGGUAAAGCUUGUGUCAAACAAGUACAGUUUCAAGGAAGAAAGAGCAAGUCACACAUCAAAUGCCACAAGGCUAGGACUGAGCAGUAACAACUGCAUUUGAUAAUUGGGGAUUAUUAGUGACUAAUCCAGAGCAGUUUCAGAGGAAUGAUGUGCCAGAAAGCACACUGAGGUGGGCAAACACUUUCAAAACUAAAAGAAGGGGAUCAAGGGACAGGUAAAGGGGGAGGAAGGAAGGAUAAAGGGGAUGAAGAAAGGAAUUAAGAUGUUUUGUGCACAGGUACCAACUUCCCACAAGGAAUGCAAACAUUACGUACUACACACAUGUACUAAUAAGCUAAAAUAAUAAAACACAAAGAAGAGUCAAAGAAAAAUCAUUCCGUUAAAAAGCACUGGGGAAAAAAACCCACUGACAGGGAAGUUGAAUGUUAGACCUAGUCAUUGGGUGAAAUACUCUUAGGCAAAUUCACAAGAAGUCCAGUUGCCCAGUUCUGAAAGCAAAACUGCUCUAGACCCAAGUAGAAGCUACAGUAGGUGACCAAGGC